UACGGAAGGCAGCAGUGGGGAAUAUUGCACAAUGGGCGCAAGCCUGAUGCAGCCAUGCCGCGUGUAUGAAAAGGCCUUCGGGUUGUAAAGUACUUUCAGUCGUGAGGAAAGGUGUUAAGGUUAAUAACCUUAGCAAUUGACGUUAGCGACAGAAGAAGCACCGGCUAACUCCGUGCCAGCAGCCGCGGUAAUACGGAGGGUGCGAGCGUUAAUCGGAAUUACUGGGCGUAAAGGGCACGCAGGCGGUUAAUUAAGUUGGAUGUGAAAUCCCCGGGCUUAACCUGGGAAUGGCAUUCAAGACUGGUUAGCUAGAGUCUUGUAGAGGGGGUAGAAUUCCAUGUGUAGCGGUGAAAUGCGUAGAGAUGUGGAGGAAUACCGGUGGCGAAGGCGGCCCCUGGACAAAGACUGACGCUCAUGUGCGAAAGCGUGGGGAGCAAACAGGGAUUAGAUACC
rnacentral:rRNA from 1 species